CAGUCGCCGCGGUAAAACGGAGGGUGCAAGCGUUAAUCGGAAUUACUGGGCGUAAAGCGCACGCAGGCGGUCUGUCAAGUCAGAUGUGAAAUCCCCGGGCUUAACCUGGGAACUGCAUUUGAAACUGGCAGGCUAGAGUCUUGUAGAGGGGGGUAGAAUUCCAGGUGUAGCGGUGAAAUGCGUAGAUAUAGGAAGGAACAUCAGUGGCGAAGGCGACCACCUGGACUGAUACUGACACUGAGGUGCGAAAGCGUGGGGAGCAAACAGGAUUAGAUACCCCGGUAGUCCCUGUCUCUUAUCC
rnacentral:rRNA from 1 species